UCUCACUGCAGUGUUAGACUGGAGGUUAUCCUGGGAUCUCACUGCAGUGUUAGACUGGAGGUUAUGCUGGGAUCUCACUGCAGUGUUAGACUGGAGGUUAUCCUGGGAUCUCACUGCAGUGUUAGACUGGAGGUUAUCCUGGGGGCCCAGGGGUGGGAUCUCUCUGUUCCACACCCAUCCAGGUAUUUACAGUGUGGGUUAAAGAUGAACUAGAAGACAGGGUUAGCCGGAGGGUCCUUUAAAUGGCAUAUUAGUUAAUAAUCUCUUAAAUGCUGGAGAUUGAAAACUACCUGACAGAAUGGUAACAGAAAGAAUGAUUAGUGGUGAAAGGUUACAAAAUAGAGACUAGCUUUACACUGACAUAGAGACUAGCAUUACACUGACAUAGAGACUGACAUAGAGACACUUUACACUGACAUAGAGACUGACAUAGAGAC
ensembl:lncRNA